AUACGUAGGGGGCGAGCGUUGUCCGGAUUUACUGGGCGUAAAGGGUGAGUAGGCGGUUGUAUAUGUCAGAUGUAAAAGGCUAUGGCUUAACUAUAGUAAGCAUUUGAAACUGUACAACUUGAGUGGCAGGAGAGGUAAGUGGAAUUCCUAGUGUAGCGGUGAAAUGCGUAGAUAUUUGGAGGAACACCGGUGGCGAAGGCGGCUUUCUGGACUGUAACUGACGCUGAGGCGCGAGAGCGU
rnacentral:rRNA from 1 species